rnacentral:rRNA from 1 species
AUUGAACGCUGGCGGCAUGCUUUACACAUGCAAGUCGAACGGCAGCGCGGGCUUCGGCCUGGCGGCGAGUGGCGAACGGGUGAGUAAUACAUUGGAACGUGCCCAGUAGUGGGGGAUAGCUCGGCGAAAGCCGGAUUAAUACCGCAUACGACCUGAGGGUGAAAGCGGGGGAUCUUCGGACCUCGCGCUAUUGGAGCGGCCGAUGGCAGAUUAGCUAGUUGGUGGGGUAAAGGCCUACCAAGGCGACGAUCUGUAGCUGGUCUGAGAGGACGACCAGCCACACUGGGACUGAGACACGGCCCAGACUCCUACGGGAGGCAGCAGUGGGGAAUUUUGGACAAUGGGCGAAAGCCUGAUCCAGCAAUGCCGCGUGUGUGAUGAAGGCCUUCGGGUUGUAAAGCACUUUUGGCGGGAACGAACAGGACUGUGCCAAUACCACGGUUCGAUGACGGUACCCGCAGAAUAAGCACCGGCUAACUACGUG